GAUGAACGCUGGCGGCGUGCCUAAUACAUGCAAGUCGAGCGAACAGACGAGGAGCUUGCUUCUCUGACGUUAGCGGCGGACGGGUGAGUAAAACGUGGAGAACCUACCUAUAAGACUGGGAUAAAUUCGGGAAACCGGAGCUUAUACCGGAAUAUCUAUUGAACCCCAUGGUUCAAUAGUGAAAGACGGUUUUGCUGCCACUUAUAGAUGGAUCCGCGCCGCAUUAGCUAGUUGGUAAGGUAACGGCUUACCAAGGCAACGAUGCGUAGCCGACCUGAGAGGGUGAUCGGCCACACUGGAACUGAGACACGGUCCAGACUCCUACGGGAGGCAGCAGUAGGGAAUCUUCCGCAAUGGGCGAAAGCCUGACGGAGCAACGCCGCGUGAGUGAUGAAGGUCUUCGGAUCGUAAAACUCUGUUAGUAGGGAAGAACAAAUGUGUAAGUAACUAUGCACGUAUUGACGGUACCUAAUCAGAAAGCCACGGCUAACUACGUG
rnacentral:rRNA from 1 species